GACAUACAAGUAGUAGGAAGGAAACUGGACCGACCCUUCGGGAGCUUGUACAGGUGCUGCAUGGCUGUCGUCAGCUCGUGUCGUGAGAUGUUCGGUUAAGUCCGCUAACGAGCGCAACCCUCGCUGUGUGUUACAAGUGUCACACGGAACUGCCGGUCAUAAACCGGAGGAAGGUGGGGAUGACGUCAAGUCAGCAUGGCCUUUAUAUCCUGGGCUACACACACGCUACAAUGGGAAGGGACAAUAGGUUGCGAAGCCGCGAGGCGGAGCCAAUCCAGCAAAACUUCCCUCAGUUCAGAUUGCAGGCUGCAACCCGCCUGCAUGAAGUUGGAGUUGCUAGUAAACGCAGGUCAGCCAUACUGCGUUGAAUACGUUCCCGGGGCUU
rnacentral:rRNA from 1 species